GACGAACGCUGGCGGCGUGCUUAACACAUGCAAGUCGAACGAAGUGGCGAACGGGUGAGUAACGCGUAAUCAACCUGCCCUUCAGAGGGGGACAACAGUUGGAAACGACUGCUAAUACCGCAUACUGAAGGAGUGGUUUGCGUGUGAGUAGCUAGUUGGAGGGGUAACGGCCCACCAAGGCGAUGAUCGGUAGACGGGCUGAGAGGAUGGACGGCCACAAUGGGACGGGGACACGGCCCAGACUCCUACGGGGGGGAGCAGUGGGGGAUGUUCCGCAAAGGGCGGAAGGCUGGAGGAACAACGGCGCGGGAGUGGUGACGGGCUUCGGGUUGUAAAGCUUUGUUAAUCGGGACGCGGUACCGGAAGAGAAAGCCACGGCUAACUACGUGCCAGCAGCCGCGGUAAUAC
rnacentral:rRNA from 1 species